rnacentral:rRNA from 1 species
UACGAAGGGUGCAAGCGUUACUCGGAAUUACUGGGCGUAAAGCGUGCGUAGGCGGUUUGUUAAGUCUGUCGUGAAAGCCCCGGGCUCAACCUGGGAAUGGCGAUGGAUACUGGCGAGCUAGAGUACGGUAGAGGAGAGUGGAAUUCCCGGUGUAGUGGUGAAAUGCGUAGAUAUUGGGAGGAACACCAGUGGCGAAGGCGGCUCACUGGACCGGAACUGACGCUGAGGCGCGAAAGCGUGGGGAGCAAACAGG